CUCCUUAGGUCAGUUUAGUUGCCCCCACCUUGCUUUAAUAUGUCUUUGCACUUGUGAGUGUUCUAGCUCUGUUCAAAGCUUAGGGGAUAUAACAGUUAACACAAUGGACACGAUCCCAGCCUUCACGGAGUUUAUGCUCACAUGGGGGCGUUACGCUAAACAAAUGGAUAAAUCAGUAAAACAGUUAGAGUUGUGACAAGCAUGCAUUCAUCAUUCAUUCAACAAACAAUAAAUGUGUCUGUGCUUCCAGGCAGUGCGAAUGAAUGGGGGAACAAAUCAAGUUCCUGCGCUAAUGGUACCUAACAUAGUACCGAGUGGGAGAGAGACGCGAUGAGCGAUACGCUACUAGAGAAAUAAGUGUUGAGAAGAAACAAAAGGAAGUGUAAGGGAUUAGGAAGUGGCAGUGGUGAUGGGACGCGUGGCUAUGUUAGGUCGGAUGCCCAGGGAGGUGAGCCUGAGAAUACGAUUUUAAAUGAGUUCUGAAGAAGUGAGAAUCCUGCAAACUGCCAAUGAGCAACUUAAGCAAAGGGACCUGAAGUUGGUUGGCAGAGCUCCAUCUUGGCUACUCCAGCUCAAUUCUCAGAAAGUCCCAAUGAGGCAACUUUGGCAAAAUUUCCAUCACCCAACCAUUUAUGUCAGGCACCGUGCCAAGGACCUAAACUCAUUUAAUCCUCACACCAAUGCCUCUGGGAUGGAUCCUGUUGUUUGCUGCUGAAGAAACCGGGAUAAAGAGAGGUGAAGUAUUUGCUAAAGGUCACAUCCUAUCUGAGACCAGCUUCCCCGAAAGCAAGCUCUGAGGCAGAGAUCUGCAUCUGGCAGGUGUGUUGGAGACCGACCCUGGUAAAAACCCCCUUAGGCAGGUGAGAGCACCAGGACUGGGGGAGGGAGAAGUUGAACUGUGACAUGGUUGCCAUAGAGAUCUCGGUGGACCCUUCAAGGCCCUGGAGAGCGGAGUUGUCCCGCAUUGGAGGCCAAGGAGUCAGGCCUUUCUAUUCCUGCAUGGAUGAAUCCUCAGCUGCCAGACUGCGUGGGUGAAGGGUGUAUUUUUAAGCUAAGGGAGCUCUCUUGACUGGAGAAGGACUUCUGGAAACUGCUACUGCUAAACAGCCAACACUUCGGGCACCAGAAUUAUGAAAGCCCCAGCCCCGAAAGGAGAGUUUGAGCAGCAGGUCACCGUCCCCAGGACACACCGUACCUUAGUUUCUAGUUCUGCGUAACAAGCCAGCCUCACAUUUAAGGAUCAAAAUAACAAAUAGUUAUUAUCUCAUCGUUUCUGUGGGUCAGCAAUCCGGGGAUGGCUUUGCUGAGUGCCUCUAGCUCAGGAUGUUAAAGCAUAAAUUGUUCUAGCACCUGUUAACGUGGUAAGGAAGACUUCAGUCCAGACUCUUGGAAUAGGCAUCUGGACUAUCCCUAGGUGAGAAGGCUUGGGCUUAACUCCAAAUCCAGCAAAGACUGCUGGGAAUUUGUAGCCAACAAGUGGGAUGAAAAAAAAGAUAUUACUAAGAGGAGGCACCAAGGGUAGGGUGAUUCUUGCUAAACUAACAGGAUUCUUGCUGAAGGUGGGCCAGGGUGAUCAGAUAGCAAGGGUGAGGAGAUUCUUGCUAAACUUACUUAGUAGAAUUCUUAUUAUACUUGGGCUAUGCAGGCCCGGCAAGGACAGGGAGCCAAGGUCAAGGCCUCAUCAAGGAAAGGGCUCAGAGGAGGCUGACUGCAGUUUGUACAAGCAGAGCGUCUAUGUCAAGGUCUCUCAUGAGGUUAUGGUCAAAGCUGUUGGCCAGGGCGGUGGUCUUACCUGACAGCUUGACCUGGAGAAGGAGAAGGAUUCUAGGAAGAAGGCAGGGUAAGAAGCACCAGGAAAUCUGUCUCCCCAUUUAGCGGACAAUUGUACUGUCAGAAUGUGUCUGCCUUAACUGUUUUGGAACUCUUUUAAGUUUGCUGAAGGCUCUGCAGGGAAGACCUGGAGAGUAAAUUACCUUCACUUUGAUCAAUUUCAGCUGUUAGACACCAUAGCAAUUACCCAUCCCCCAAAGACUUGUAACUGUACCUUUAGUUUUCUGCAUGAGACUGAUACGUUUAAAGAAAAAGACUGUUAGUGUGAAAACUAGUAUUACUAUAUCUUCGGUUUGUGACUCCACACUUUGUUUUCUAUAUAAUUUAGGAGAAUAGUGAAUUUAAAAGAAUUAUUCAUUUGUUUGGGGGCACACAAUGUAUAAAGAUGAUAUUUUGUAACAUCAGCAAUCAGAAGGGGUAAGGACAGAGCUAUAAAGGAGCAGAGUUUUUGUAUGUUACUGAAGGUAUAAAUUCAAACAAGAGCAUUAUAAAUUUAGAAUCUUAAAUGUAAUCCCAUGGAAACCACAAAGAAAAUAGCUGUAUAAUAUACACAAAAGGAAAUGGGAAAGGAAUUUAAACAACUCACUACAAAAAAUAAACUAAACACAAAAGACAGUAAUGCAGGAAAUGAGAGAGAAAAAUUUCAGGACAUAUGGAAUACAAAUAGCACUAUGCCAGGAGUAAGUCCCUCUUGAUAAGUAAUUAAGUGUAAUAAAUUUAACUUGCCAUUCAAAAGACAAAGAUUGGCAGAAUGGGCAAACACACAACCUAACUCUAUGCUAUCUAUAAGACUCACUUGAGAUCCAAAGGCACUGUCAAGUGGAAAGGGGAGGAUAGAAAAAGAUAUUCCAAACAGUAGUCACCAGGAGAGAGCAGAGGUGGCCGUAUUAAUAUCAAUUGAUUUUAUUUAUUUACUCAUUCAUUUAUUCAUUUAUUUAUAAAGAUUUAUUUAUUUACUUGAGAGAGUGUGCACAAGUGUGAGCAUGAGGGCAGGGGCAGAGGGAGAGGAAAAGAGCAUCUUAAGCAGACUCCAUGCCGAAGGCAGAGCCCGACACAGGACUCCGUCUCGCCACCCUGCAAUCAUGACCCUGAGAUCACGACCUGAGCUGAAACCGAGAGUCAGUAGCUUAACUGACUAAGCCAUUCAGGCACCCCAAAAGAGGAUUUAUGUAAUAAGAAUAGGCUCAAAACAGCACAAAGCUCUAAUAAUUAUAAACAUGUAUGGCAUCUAAUGAAGACUGUCAAAAUAUAUGAAGCAAACACCGAUAGAAUUGAAGGGAGAAAUGGAUAGUUAUACAAUAAUAGUUGGAGACUUCAAUACCGCACUCACGAUAAUGGAUAGAACCAGACAGAAGGUAAGCAAGGAAAGAGAGGACUUAAAACAAUAAACCAACUGGAGCUAACAGACACACAGAACACUAUCCAACAGCCAAAGCACACACAUUAGUAAGCCCACAGCAGAGAUAGGAAAAAGCCACACAAAUGGUUGUUCCCCAUUGUAUGUGUGACAGAGAAAGAGAAUACCCUUCUUUAUCUUACCAUUAGAUCUGAUACAAAGCCAUCUUUGCUUGGAAGAAUAUUCACGCACAGCUAUCCCCUCUGUCGACAGAUUUGCCUGAAAGCAAGCUGUAAGAGCUAGUGCCCCUCAGGGAAGGCUGUGCUCAGCAGGAGAGUUUCAAGCCUGUAUUUGUCCAGUUCAAGCUCCUUGUCACACUUUCCUUGAUAGGAAGACACCUCUAAGUGGCCCUUCAGAAGCAUUUUGCCCAGAAAGAAAUACAAAGGCAAGGGAAUCAUUGAAGAGAGUGCCCCUUUCACUUGGUGUUUGUGCAAGGAAACAGUGGGGUGGGUAGAUUAUGUGUGUGAACUUUUGUGAUUGACAACCCAAUGCAGAGCACAAGGGCUCAAUGGGUCAUCAGGGGAUCUGUGGGGCCCCAGGAGUGGGUGACUUUGACCCAGUUUGGCUCUGGCUCUGGGAAGCAAGUAUUCCGUGCCCCCAGAGACAGCAGGUUCCCUAGGUGACCGGGGCUUGCUAUUCAGGAAACAUCUGCAAAGUCAUGGCAUCUGCGGCGUGGGGCUUCAUGGCCAGGCCGUUUCUUCUGCUGAAAGGAUCUUUUUUAAGAAAUGAGAACCACAGGGAAACUGCUUCCAAGUACCCUUGAGGAGCUUCAAAGUGACUCAGAAGAAAGGCCUCAGGGAGUCAGCAUGAAGGUCAAAUCCUAGGUCUACCUAUCAACUGCCCUAUGACUCGAGAUGCUUGAUUUUCUCCUGGCCCUAAGUUUGUUUCAGUGGGCUUGGGACAGGAUUGGGAAUCUAUAUUUUUAACCAGCCCCAUAUGUGACUCAUACUAGAAACCUGGUAUGAGCCUCUUUCCUAUAAGCCGUAUUGGCUCGUGUUUGUUACGCAUGGACCCUGGAGACAGACUGUCUGGGUUACUUCCAGCUCCACCAGCUUGGGAUUUGUGUAUCCUUGGGCAAGUUAUUUCACCUCCCUGUCUCAAUUUCCCCAUUUGUACAAUGGGGAGAAUAGUAGUACCUGUCUUACGGGGUUAUUGUGAAGACCAAGUAUGCUAAUUGUGGAAAGCCUUUAGCAUGGAGCCAGUUACAGCAAACACUGUGUGUUCCUCUUAAUAUUCCAGAGCCACAGACCAUUAUCCACAAGUCCAAAAUUUAAACAAAUUCUAAAAAUCAAAAAGUUUUUCCUUGGGAUGCCUGGGUGACUUGGUUAGUUAAGCGUCUGCCUCGGUUCAGCUCAGGUCAUGAUCCCAGGGAUUGAGCCCUGCCAUCAGGCUCCCUGCUCAGCGAGGAGCCUGCUUCUCCCUCUGCCUGCCAUCCCCCCUGUUCCUGUGCUCAUGCACGCUCUCUCUGCCAGGCAAAUCUUAAAACAGUUUUCCCCUGAAGUUUGGCACAGAUCAAUGUGGCAGCGAAACCUGAUCUGAACUGAUGGGAGGCUACUGAUAGUCUUUAUCCCUUAUUCUGUGCAUUAAAAUUUAAUUGAAGAAAUAGCAACACAUGUUUAUGGAAUGCUGCCUCACAGCCCCAGUAGGUAUUACAUGAUAUACUGUGUAUUUGUGUAUUUCCUAAAAAUCUGAAAUACUCUCAACCUCAAAACACAGGGGUUGUUGAGAAGGGAACUCGGAGCUACAGCUCAUUAUCUUUCCUUGGCCAGAGACAACGUGGGAUAACCAGACAAUGUGGGAAAACUCGCCCUCUGGUGGUUGCGGUGGAGAACCACACCACAGGAGGGCCAGAGGAGAAGGAAAAGCCUCAUCAGAGACUCAUCCUCUGGCCCACAAUUCAGAAGAAAAAUUCUUUUUAGAGGACAUUUCUUAAAUGUCUUCAAGGGCUGCUGUAUGGGCAGAGAAGACAUCACUUCAGUCAAAAAAAUUAAUAUUCAAUUUACUGAAGUAAUAAAAACAUUACAUCAGCUUUUUAAAGUUCGGUUUCUAGAUCUUAUAUUUAUAAAGCUAACAAAUGUUAAUUACUUUUAAUUAGGGGAAAUUUGAAUAUCCAAUUUAUAAACAAACUCCUUUAAACAUUUACUAUUGCAUUUUUGUAUUUAAUAUAUUCGAUUUCCUUUUCAGAGUACUUUAAUUAUCUGGCCAACCAAACUCAAAAUACUAUUAAAAGUUCCUAUAGUAUAUAUAUAUAGUUUCCAAUACCAUAUAGAGAGAAAUGAUUGCAAUUUAAAACUGAUUACUAAGUCUAAAUUGAUUACUCACUCACGCACUCCAGACUGGAAUCACAAAUUAUCUUCCCCAAGUUAAUUUUUAAGUUGCUUUAUCAGUUUGCUGAGAUUUCCUAGUACCAAAGGGAAUCCUGGCAGGAUGCUGGCCGACUACAAUACUCUGUUCAAUAUCCAUUACUUUUCAGUGCUUUCAUUCUGUCAACCUCUGCUCUCAUACUCCCUCUUCUUACCUAAUAGAAUGCAAAUGCAAACCUUUCAACACAUCUUUCCCUUUGUACCUACCACACCACCUUUACGCCUGCGGUCAGCAACUCUUUGCGUAAAAGGCCGGUAAAUACUUUGCACUUUGUGAGCUCUUUGGUGCACCUACUUAACUGUCUGCCAUCGUGAAAGGAGUCUUAGACAUCACAUAAGUAAGUGUGCCUGUGUAUAAAACUUCAUUCAUGGACACUGAAAUUUGAAUUUCACGUCAUUUUCAUGUGUCACAAAAUAGCAGUCACAGUUUAAAAAGACAUUUAAAAAUGUGAAAACCGUUCUUUAGCUUGUGAGCUGUACUACCACAGGCAGUGGGCCAGGUUUGGCUCACUAACUGACCCCUGCUCUAACCGAGUUUUGCACGCAGUUAGCAGGUUAAGUACUGAUGUCAAUUCUUGUUCUAUGCUCUUUGAAAACUCACACAUUUCUCUGAAAUUUUUCCUCAUUCGAAGUUAUUUGGCAGCUAAGACUUUGUCCAGGGAGCACUCUGGAGCGGUUACACCACGCUGAGCCCACACAGGGAUGUCCACACUUUUGUUGAACUGUCCGGGUCUGUGUAUUAUCUUCACUGGGGUUUAUCAGUGAAAUACGGUUUUGUGUAGACAGGUAAAAUACUGUUUCUUUGUCAAUUUCUUUUCCUUUGCUAACCCAGGAGUUUUAAACUUUAUUAUCUGGUCUAAGAUGUUCCUAAAUAGAGCCAAUAGAUUUAAAAAAACUUUUCUCAAUUGAUGAAAUUAAAGUCUGAUUUUUUGGGGGAGAGGUGUCCUUGAACUCUCA